GAAUGGACAAACGCAGGCUGGAAUUUUAUUGUCUUUGAAGGUGCUGAUAUCCAGCGGAUUUAAAUUUCACAAAGAGCUCCAUAUGACUCUACGACAAUUAAUGACCCUCUCUGAAACAUAACACCAUCAGUAGGGAAAUAAUUGUAAACACAUCUGCAACCUCCAGGUGUUUCUUGAAGCAAUUGACCCUCCUUGACUUUACCUUUAGAGUGCUAAAAUACUAAUGCACUCGCCCCACCCCUUAUAGUUUAGAAAUACCGAGGCCCUCUCUGGUACAGCUACAGCUACAAGCUGAGGCUCAGGGCACAGCUCUGCUCUCAAACCAUGGAGAUACUCUGCCUGUUGUUUUUAAGUCAAUAUAAAAAGGAUGAGGGCUAUACUCCACUAUUUUGUUAUAAAGAUUUCUCUUUUCAGAACACAGAUCUUUUUCUGCUUUAAAAAUUGUAUGUCUCACUUAAGGGUAGAACUGGGAGUAGGAGCCCCAACUCACCUUAGGUGCUGUUCGGUACAGUGUGAGGGAAAAAGCGAUACAUUUAAAAUCAUGAGACUUUAGAGGGAAACCAAAGACCUACUCACUGUUGAAAACUGGGCCUUCAUUUGCUGAGGCCCAUCAUGACAGUUGUUCUCUUUGCUUAGGGCUCAUGCGUGCCAACCCACCAUGGCCCUAAAACAAGAGACCAGGACUAGAUACUGAAGACCACAUGCCUCUGGGAAUAAAUGUGUCACCCAUGGGGAACUGAGACGGGUUCUUACAAAACAACAAAACAGAACGCACAACCUUAUUUGUGAAGGUGUCAAUACUAUUUCCCAGCAAGGCUUCUUCGGAUGGUAAUGACUCUUUCCAUGUGUUUAACCUUGUCAGAAAUCUAAAGGCUACUUUAUAGUCCUUUCUUUCCCCGCAAGGACGGUGAUCUUCCAGCUCAGCUUUCCCCUAACAAUGCUCCCUCAGGAUCAUAGGAAACUAACUACUUGUAAAAAGAAAAUCGAUCUCCCCAUCUCACCCCCCUAUUCUAUAGUUUUUACGGUAUAUAACAGCAAUAAUUAACACUAAUUGUAUCCUUACUAAUAGCAGGCUCUCAGACCUACUGAGGAUUUUAGACCUUAAGUUCAGAACUGGGGUCUUGUAUAUGACAUCAAGAAUGGGUUAAUAGGUAAGAACACAAACUUACCUGUUCCUUUAUUUAAGACAAGGCUCCAUUGUAUAGAUCAUGCUGGCCUUGAACUCACAUACAGUCUAGGCCAGGUUCAUUCACUAACCUCCUUAGUUUAUUAGAAUUGGGAUUACAGGCCUGCCUUUGCCUGAGCUACCUUUCCAACCUUUCCAAUGCACAUGGGCUUCAAACGAGUGAGUAAAUACCCCAAGAGCUGUGAAUUUGGGACGUGUAAACACCAUCUCACCAGAAGAGGAAAGAAAAACACUAAUGGGAAAAGAGAUGAAACUGAAGGAAGGUAAGUGGCCCUUAGGAGAGAAACGAGAGAUAGGCUGCUUUGUGCCAAAUUCUGUUGGCGUGUGGUGUGGGGCCAACACUACUGAGACUAGAAGAGCCCGUGGGAGGGGACCUGUGAGAACUGAGUUCCCCUGAGAGGCUCUGAUUUUAGGCAGACAGGGAAUUUCAGGAGCUCAAAUGCUCUUGAGUGUGGAUUUCGGUGUGUGGGGAGAAUAAUUCCUAGACCACAGUGGCCACAUGCACCACAUCCAGACAUUAAAAAUACGGAGUUCAUUCUCUCAACAACCUUAUCUAUUUGCAGAUGAGAAAAAUGCAGGUUCAAAGAGGUUAUGUCAACAGCCCAAAGCCUCAGAGCUAGCAAGUGGCAGGUAUAGGCUGGCCGCCAGGUGGCCUGGCUCGACUGAAUCAGGUGUCACUUAGCAUCUUAUGUGCCAGAGAUGCAUGCUCUUCUCAGCAACCAUAGCCCAAACAGUCCCCACUGUCACUCAGCUCACAGUGAAAUGGAGAAGACAGCAGCAGCCAAGCACUCAGGCUCUUCGAGCUGACAGACAGAAGGACAGCUUACUGCUCUACUUGAGAACGGACUGACCAGGAAGUGGGUGGUAGCAGGGGCAUUUCCUCUGAGGACCCCAUGGUGGUUGUCCCUUUAGCUGAUUUUUAAAAAAGAUUUAUUUACAUUUAUUUUAUGCGUGUUUUACCUGCAGGUAUGUAUGUGUACUAUGUGCAUACAUGGUGAUCAUAGAGAUCAGAAAAGAGUGUUAGUUAAGAUCCGCUGGAGUUCUAGGUGGGUGUGAGCAAGUUGUCACGUGGGUGCGAGGAGCUGAACUCAAGUUCUCUGCAUGAGCAGUAAGUGCUCUAACCACUGAGCCAUCGCCCCAGCCUCUGAUUCAAUUAUUGCAAGGAUCCUUGCCUAACAUUUUCUUAUUGACAUGUUUAUAGCUUAUCUUUUCACUAUUGUGCUAGGAACUGCCUCUAACCCACCAGAGUGCACUGCCUGGAAGAAAGAGGAGCUGAGGAGACUGCUGAAUGGAUGACACAGAAAGUAACAGACACAGGCAGGAGAAAGAGGUGUGGCUUGAAGAGAAGUGAGCCAUGCAGUGGGGAUUUGUCCCUCUCCACGGAGAACAGACAGCCAUAUCUGCGUUUACUGACUUUAAGCCUCCCGGUGUUAGCCUGGCACACUGUAAGCCUGCUGCCUCGGCAAGGUUCAGGAAGCCCUCCGUGGUCUGCCUCUGCUGUGUCUUCUGCCUACUCUUAUGAUACUUUUCCUACCUUGUGCCUCAGGCUAACGCAGCACUACCAUGUCUGCGGCUUCCAGAAUGUUCUUCAUGUACGGUCUUUGCUCACCAUGUUCCCUCUGCCUCAGAAGCUGCCCUUACCUGUGCACACCCAGGAAAACCAGACCUCCUUAUCCUCACAACAGAACUCACUUCCCUGGCCUAUCAGGUAGAAAUGACCACACCCAUGGCUUCCUUUUUCAUUCUGCCAGCACAGUGCAUUGUUUAUUUCCAAGCCACCUUAAAGGAGGAGCAACCUUUUUAUCUCCAGCAAAAGCAAUCAAUAGCUAUCUAAGGCUAGGUUCAGAAAACAGCAACCAACAAGGAACCAGUGCGGCCACAUUUUCCUGCCUCUCAAAGCACACAAAAAGAAGCUGACAGCCUGAAUGUUCACCGAGUGCUUACAACGGGGUCACCUGAAACAAAUCUUUGUUCCUGUGAUCAGUGCUUCCGAGAGAAAUCUGGCAUUGGAUCUGAAGGAAAUGCCAUGGCGAAAUUUCCUAAGAUUAAUCACACAGGUAAGUAAUUUCCCCUU